UUUUUUUUUUUGUUUGUGUGAAUUGGAAUCUCAAACAAUCAAUCUCUCAACCCACCUACACCCCUGUGUGUCUCUGAAGCACUUCUCCUCCUCACUUGAGUUCCCUUCCCUCUCAUUCAUUCGAUCCCCUUCUCUCUUCUCUCUCUCUCUCAGGGCUUCUGCAAUGACAGAACCUUCCAAAGUCAUUCACGUUCGGAAUGUGGGGCAUGAAAUUUCUGAAAAUGAUUUGCUUCAGCUAUUUCAGCCCUUUGGAGUCAUAACUAAGCUUGUGAUGCUUCGUGCAAAAAACCAGGCUCUUAUUCAAAUGCAGGAUACUGCUGCUGCAGUAAGUGCAUUGCAAUUCUAUGCAAAUGUUCAACCUGCUGUGAGGGGAAGGAAUGUUUAUGUCCAGUUCUCAUCACAUCAAGAACUAACAACAAUGUAUCAAAAUGCUCAAGGACGAGGAGAUGAGCCAAACCGAAUUCUCUUAGUUACAGUCCACCACAUGCUAUAUCCUAUAACAGUGGAAGUGCUGCAUCAAGUAUUUUUUCCUCAUGGAUUUGUAGAGAAGAUUGUCACGUUCCAGAAGUCAGCUGGUUUUCAGGCCCUCAUUCAGUAUCAGUCUCGCCAAAGUGCCGUUGCAGCUAGAACUGCACUGCAGGGACGCAAUAUUUACGAUGGUUGUUGUCAGCUGGACAUUCAGUUCUCAAACCUUGAUGAGUUGCAAGUGAACUACAAUAAUGAGCGUUCAAGGGAUUUCACAAAUCCAAAUUUGCCUUCGGAACAGAAAGGAAAAUCCCCACAACCUGGAUAUGGUGAUUCAGGAGGCAUGUAUGGCCUUCAAGCUACUGGAGCCAGGGCAGUUGGAUUCCCACAGAUGGCUAACGCGGCUGCGAUUGCUGCUGCCUUUGGUGGAGGUUUGCCUCCUGGUAUAAGUGGGACAAAUGACAGGUGUACGGUCCUUGUGUCAAACUUGAAUCCCGAUAGAAUAGAUGAAGAUAAGCUUUUUAACCUGUUCUCCAUUUAUGGAAACAUUGUGAGAAUUAAGCUUCUUCGGAACAAACCAGAUCAUGCACUAGUCCAGAUGGGUGAUGGCUUCCAGGCUGAACUGGCAGUACACUUUUUAAAGGGUGCAAUCCUGUUUGGGAAGCGAUUGGAGGUUAACUUCUCAAAGCAUCCAAAUAUAACUCAGGGUGCCGACACUCAUGAAUACAUGAAUUCAAAUCUCAACCGCUUCAACCGUAAUGCUGCAAAGAACUACCGCUAUUGCUGCUCACCUACAAAGAUGAUCCACUUGUCCUCUCUUCCACAAGAAGUCGCUGAAGAUGAGAUUGUGGCCCACCUAGAGGAUAUUGGUACCAUUGUCAACACAAAGCUUUUUGAGAUGAACGGGAAGAAGCAGGCCUUAGUUCUGUUUGAAACUGAGGAGCAGGCCACUGAAGCCCUUGUGUGCAAGCAUGCUACCUCGCUUGGUGGGUCAAUUAUCCGGAUCUCCUUUUCACAGUUACAGGCAAUAUGAUAAUGUUAUAGUUGCGGAAAUAACAGGGAGGAGGUUUCUGCAUAAUGGGGUGUUAAGUGGUACUAGCUGAGUUAUUCUUACUCAAGUGGUUGAGUCACGUUUGGUGUGAUGCGGUGCAAAGAUAAAUGGUACUAUCUUGUACCCUUUUUUCCAAAAUCACCUCGCUAAGUAGCCCAUGCUAAGGGUACCAAAAAGUUGAACCUCAACUGACACCGUUUUCUCUCCAUCGCUAAGUGCGCUCAUCUCUCACCUAUGUUGACAGUGCUCUUCUUCUUCCUCUCAUCACUCUUAUUCCUCCCUCGUGCCGCUCUUCUUCAUCUUGCCCUCGAAUGUCUCUUGGCUACAUAGUAUGAAAGAGUCCACCUUCUUCUGUGUCUCAAAUUGACAGAUCGUGAUUCUUCCUACUUAUAAGUUUCAGUGAAAGACAACUGAGGACGUAAUACUGCAGAAUUUGAAUAUAAUUCAUGGCAUUUUGCAAAAUUUGGGUAGUUGAUGAACUUCUUUGCCCAAAGUUUGACAGAAAUCUCCUCUGCCAAAGUUCUUUGUUAAGGAUGUACAAAGAACCAUCUACUGUGAUUUGAAUUGAUUUGUUUGGAUUUCAACUAUUUUCUGGGUUAUGGUUUUGUGGUGUUUACUGGAAGUUGUUCUUGU